GUCUCUGGCCAUGCCACUCUAAACAAAGCUCGAUGUCUGAUCUCAGAAGCUAAGCAGGGACGGGCCUGGUUAGUACUUGGAUGGGAGACCACCUAGGAAGACCAGGUGCUGUAGGCA
rnacentral:rRNA from 1 species